rnacentral:rRNA from 1 species
UACGGAGGGGGCUAGCGUUGUUCGGAAUUACUGGGCGUAAAGCGCACGUAGGCGGCUUUGUAAGUUAGAGGUGAAAGCCCGGGGCUCAACCCCGGAAUUGCCUUUAAGACUGCAUCGCUUGAAUCCAGGAGAGGUGAGUGGAAUUCCGAGUGUAGAGGUGAAAUUCGUAGAUAUUCGGAAGAACACCAGUGGCGAAGGCGGCUCACUGGACUGGUAUUGACGCUGAGGUGCGAAAGCGUGGGGAGCAAACAGGAUUGAGAA